AGUGAACGCUGGCGGUAGGCCUAACACAUGCAAGUCGAACGGCAGCACAGUAAGAGCUUGCUCUUACGGGUGGCGAGUGGCGGACGGGUGAGGAAUACAUCGGAAUCUACUUUUUCGUGGGGGAUAACGUAGGGAAACUUACGCUAAUACCGCAUACGACCUACGGGUGAAAGCAGUGGAUCUUCGGACCUUUCGCGAUUGAAUGAGCCGAUGUCGGAUUAGCUAGUUGGCGGGGUAAAGGCCCACCAAGGCGACGAUCCGUAGCUGGUCUGAGAGGAUGAUCAGCCACACUGGAACUGAGACACGGUCCAGACUCCUACGGGAGGCAGCAGUGGGGAAUAUUGGACAAUGGGCGCAAGCCUGAUCCAGCCAUACCGCGUGGGUGAAGAAGGCCUUCGGGUCGUAAAGCCCUUUUGUUGGGAAAGAAAAGCAGCAGGUUAAUACCCCGAUGUUCUGACGGUACCCAAAGAAUAAGCACCGGCUAACUUCGUG
rnacentral:rRNA from 1 species